UGCAACGGUGAUGAGCCAAUACAGACCUGUAAUGACCUACGGACAUGAUCGCAAAUUCAUUAUGAACAUCUAAGGGACUGAGUUGCC